rnacentral:ncRNA from 1 species
GUUCGUCUUCAGGGCAGGGUGUAAUUCCCGACCGGCAGUAAAGUCUGCGAAACCGUUUGGUUUGAAUCGGUGCAAUUCCGAUACCGACAGUAUAGUCUGGAUGGAAGAAGAUGGCU